rnacentral:misc_RNA from 1 species
ACUGAUAAGGAAGCCAUUGUUGAUAAAUUUGGCACGAAACCAAGAUAUAAAGAAGCAGGAAAGGAAAAUAACAGAGGAGAGAGGGAGAGGGCGAAGAUUUGUAGGAGAAAUGACGGCGAUGGGAUCAAAGAAAGUUGAUGGUGAAUCAAGAAAAUGAAAUACAAAGCCAACAAAGCUAAUGGCAAAUGGAGAUGGGUUUCGAUACUUACAAUGAAGGAAACACCAUUUUGUUAAACUAACCAACCAAACCACACCCAUUUCACACUCAACUGGGCUUUGACAGAGGAACGUUACGUUUCCCUCCUACAACGACUUGUGCAUGCAGUAAUUAUGGUCUGGGGUCUUCUCUUUUAGACUGAUCUUUAUUUUUUAUCAUUG